UCAUUCAUCACAACUUUUUUCUUCCCGCAGAACUUCAUCUUCUCAUCUUAUAAUUCACAUUCUUUUUCUGUUUUUUUUCUUUCUCCUUUAAUUCUUCCUUCAACCAUUAUCACACAUCAAUUGAUCCAUCAUCUCCACCUUCAUCAUCUCUAGUUCGUUAGCUUUAAAAGAUAGGAAAUUUUUGGGUUAUUGGACUUGCGGUUUUCGGAUCAAGAGGUCGAGAUUGUUGGGUCUUUAUAGUAUAAUUUCACUUUUAUUACUUUUCCUAAUCAAAUUGCGGGUUCAUAGAGGAACCUUUUUGACUUGAGAUUGAGAUACACUGACUGUGUUUGCUACUAAGGGACUUGAAGAUAGUUAGCUCCAGUUGGGUUAAAGAGUGCGUUGGAUCCCUUUUGAUUUAAUAGGACUUUUAAAAAGACUUCCGCUGUUAUUUAUUUAUAAGAUUUAUGUUAUGGUUUGUAAUAAUUAAUUUUACAUUCUAUUUAGUUGGUCUGUAAUAAUUAGUUAAAACUUAUUGGUUAUUGUUUUAGUUAGAACCAUUAGCCUUGCGGUUAUUAUUAAUAAUUAUCGCGGCGUAGCACCUUUGGAUUUUCGAGUUUAUUUAUAUUAAGUUGAUUUUAGAAGUAUUGGAAA